rnacentral:misc_RNA from 1 species
UCUCCGUUGGUGAACCAGUGGAGGGAUCAUUGCUGGAAGCGUCUCACGGCGCACCCAGAUACCCUUUGUGAACCAAACCUGUUGCUUCGGGGGCGACCCUGCCGUUCGCGGCGCGGCGCCCCCGGGGGAAAUCAAACACUGCGUCAAUUUGUGUCGGAGUACCUGUUAAUAAACAAAACUUUCAACAACGGAUCUCUUGGUUCUGGCAUCGAUGAAGAACGCAGC